CUCAAAUUGUUCUCUUUUUCCUCCCUCUCCUCCUGCUCCUGGUUCUGCUCUUCCCUUUCCACACACUCAUUUACUCUCUCACCCCUCCUACUCCCUCUGCGCUUGCUUUUCUUGUUCCACUUCCUCUCUUUCUCUACCACUCCUCAGCUCCUUUCCUUCCAUUUCUCCCCUUUUCUCCCUCCCCUGCCACUCAUUUCCCUAGCUUUCUCUUUUGUGGACUUUCCCCUUUCUUUGUUUUCACUUUCUCUUUCAAUCCUUUCCAAAACAGAGUGGUUGUCUAACUGUCAUAGAGCAGCUUGCCCACAAUUGGUCAAACAACUGUUCCUCUGAAAUGGGGGAAACUGUUGAAGAUUUCGUGACUAGGACUCGCAUUGCCCUGAAGAAUUAUUGUCCAGUCUUCCAGGGAAAUCAGGCAAACAACAUGCAAGCACCAAAAAAGAAUAUGGAAGAAAGAAUUAAAAAAAUGACAUGCUCUGAAAUAGCUAGAAAUUUAUUAGAAAUUUGGAGAGAAUACUGGAGAGAAACAGAAAAGUCAGGUAUGUACACUUUCAAAAAAUGCUUUGAUCUCUUUAAGAUGCUGUCAAUAGUUUUUCUUGUUAAUUAUAAAACUUUUAGGAGUGUGUUUUGUAAACAUUUUAAUAUGUGUUUUCAUCUGGUUAGGGGAGAGGUGGCCUCAGCAAAGCAGGCUCCCUGGACCACCAGAAAAAUGCUGGAGGAAAUUUCUCUAAUAAUUAGCUACUACCAAGCCG
rnacentral:lncRNA from 1 species